AUGCCAUCCAUACAUGCACCAGCCCCAAACCAACAUGCUGGCUAGCAAUGGCACUGGAAAUAUGACUUCAUCCCAAAGGAGGCAGCUAAAGGCCACAAAAUGUGAGAGCAUUCGCCUCCCCCCCCCGAGACGGAGAGCACCCUUGUCUCUUAUUUCCGUGCUGUCUCUGCUGCGCCAUCUUUGUUCUCUGCUGAGAGUAGAAGUGGUUACUUACAUAUGUUCCUUUGUUCCUCUUACUUAACAUUUUCAUUAGUGGCUGAAAAAAAAUCACUUUAACAGGAAUGGUGAUGAAGAGAAAGAAUCAAGAAGAGAUGGAUCUUGAGGUGUAGACUCCAAAAUCAUGGUGAAGUUUGGCCAACUAAAGUCCUCAACUCAGAAGCAACCAAUGAGACAGCGCAGACCAAGGAGAUGUACAGCUGUAGAGAGGAUAUCCUUGAGCACUCACCCCUCCAGACCCACGAACCUUUACUGGGGGAUUUGGAGAUGUUAACAAGGACAGAUAUUUCCUGUGUGGGGAAAAGGGACACCCAUGGGGACUCUUGCCACCACUCUUUUAUCUCAACCAUCUUCAUCUUGCUCCACUCCUGCAAAGAGGACUGACCCAGCACACGGGGCCAGGGAGGUAAGGAGGGGACAGCAGAUGGUCACACUAGGUGAGGGAGACAGAGCCAGGCAAACCACCACCCAGGGAGUGCUGGGGGUUAAAGCCGGAAAUUGACUCCAUCCUGGAGUUAAUGGGCCAAAAGGGGAGUGCAAGUCACUGUGCUGGGAAAGGAGGCCAAACUGGAGGAGAGUGGGGGCAGGAGGAAGAGUGGGAGGUGAAAGUGAGCUCCGGAAGGAGGUUGGCUGCAGUGCCAACCAGAGGCGUAUUGUUGGCACCCUGCCCUGGGGCUGGUGGGUGGACUGGCCUCCUUGAAACCUGGGUCAGAGCAGAAACAACCCCCCUUUAUCACUGUGCCCGAAGCCAAAUCUUCUUGGACUUUGAUCACGUCAGACAUUUCCCAGUUUAAAAAAAAAAAAAAAGAAAAGAAAAAAGAAAAAGGCUGUUGAUUUCUUAAAUACAAAUGAGUAAAACCCAUAAAUACCAUUGACCUGAUUAAUUUCAACAUGUAACAUACUCAC